UUGGGCUUGGAAUGAUAAUU
rnacentral:misc_RNA from 1 species